rnacentral:rRNA from 1 species
AAAUUGAAGAGUUUGAUCAUGGCUCAGAUUGAACGCUGGCGGCAGGCCUAACACAUGCAAGUCGAACGGUAACAGGAAGCAGCUUGCUGCUUCGCUGACGAGUGGCGGACGGGUGAGUAAUGUCUGGGAAACUGCCUGAUGGAGGGGGGUAACUACUGGAAACGGUGGCUAAUACCGCAUAA